rnacentral:rRNA from 1 species
GAGGCAGCAGUGGGGAAUAUUGCACAAUGGGGGAAACCCUGAUGCAGCAACGCCGCGUGAGGAAGAAGUAUUUCGGUAUGUAAAGCUCUAUCAGCAGGAAAGAAAAUGACGGUACCUGACUAAGAAGCCCCGGCUAACUACGUGCCAGCAGCCGCGGUAAUACGUAGGGGGCAAGCGUUAUCCGGAUUUACUGGGUGUAAAGGGAGCGUAGACGGUUUUGCAAGUCUGAAGUGAAAGCCCGGGGCUUAACCCGGGACUGCCUUGGAAACUGUAGGACUAGAGUGCAGGAGAGGUAAGUGGAAUUCCUAGUGUAGCGGUGAAAUGCGUAGAUAUUAGGAGGAACACCAGUGGCGAAGGCGGCUUACUGGACUGUAACUGACGUUGAGGCUCGAAAGCGUGGGGAGCAAACAGGAUUAGAUACCCUGGUAGUCCACGCCGUAGACGAUGAUUACUAGGUGUUGGUGGG